CUAUUUUCUGAGGGCACACUACAUCUAACCUCUGCCGGCGCACUAACUAUGCCUUCUAACAGCGCUCCCGUCCUCCACAGGUGCUCCCUGUUCUCCGCAGGUGCUCCGAUCCUCCGCAGACCCUCCGCCUCGAUCCUCUGAUGGCACAAUACCUCUAACCUCUGCCGGCGCACUACCUCAAUCUUCUAACCACGCUCCCAUUAUCUGCAAGCCGUCUGUGUUCUCCGCAGAUGCUCUUGUCCUCUGCAGACGCUCCACAUCUAUCCUCAGACAGCGCACUACAUCUGACCUCUGCUGGCGCACUACCUCUAUCUUCUGACAAUACUCCCAACAUCUGCAGGCACUCCUUGACCUCCGCAGAUGCUCUUGUCCUCUGCAGACGCUCCACAUCUGUCCUCGGAUGAUGCACUACAUCUAACCUCUGCCAGCGCACUAACUCUGUCUUCUGAUGCUGCUCCUGUCCUUGGCAAUUGCUUCCUGUCCUCCGCAGGUGCUCCUAUCCUCCGCAGAUGCUCCACCUCUAUCCUCUGAAGGCACACUACAUCAAACCUCUGCCGGCGCACUAACUCUGUCUUCUGAUGGUGCUCCUGUCCUUGGCAAUCGCUUCCUGUUCUCCGCAGGUGCUCCUAUCCUCCACAGAUGCUCCACCUCUAUCCUCUGAAGGCACACUACAUCUAACCUCUGCCGGCGCACUAACUAUGCCUUCUGACAGCGCUCCCGUCCUCCGCACGUGCUCCCUGUUCUCCUCAGGUGCUCCGAUCCUCUGCAGACUCUCCACCUCAAUCCUCUGAUGACACAUUACCUCUAACCUCUGCCGGCGCACUACCUCUAUCUUCUAACCACGCUCCCAUCAUCUGCAAGCGGUCACUGUUCUCCGCAGAUGCUCUUGUCCUCUGCAGACGCUCCAACUCGAUCCUCUGAUGAUGCACUACAUCUAACCUCUGCCGGCGCACUAACUAUGUCUUCUGACAGCACUCCUGUCCUCCGCAGGUGCUCCCUGUUCGCUGCAGGUGCUCCCAUCCUUCGCAGACCCUCCACCUCGAUCCUCUGAUGGCACAAUACCUCUAACCUCUGCUGGCGCACUACCUCUAUCUCCUAACCACGCUCCCAUCAUCUGCAAGUGGUCUCUGUUCUCCGCAGAUGCUCUUGUCCUCCGCAGACGCUUCACGUAUAUCCUCUGAUGAUGCACUACCUCUAAACUCUGCCGGCGCACUACCUCUAUCUUCUGACAACGCUCCCAUCAUCUGCCGGCGCUCUGUGCUCUCUGCAGUUGCUCCUAUCCUCCGCAGAUGCUCCACUUAUAUCCUCUGAAGGCACACUGCAUCUAACCUCUGCCGGCGCACUAACUAAGCCUUCUGACAGCGCUCCCGUCCUCCGCACAUGCUCCCUGUUCUCCGCAGGUGCUCCUAUCCUCCACAGAUGCUCCACCUCUAUUUUCUGAAGGCACACUACAUCUAACCUCUGCUGACGCACUAACUAUGCCUUCUGACAGCACUCCUGUCCUCCGCAGGUGCUCCCUGUUCUCCUGAGGUACUCCGAUCCUAGGCAGACCCUCCACCUUGAUCCUCUAAUGGCACACUACAUCUAACCUCUGCUGGCACACUACCUCUAUCUUCUAACCACGCUCCCAUCAUCUGCAUGCCGUCUGUGUUCUCCGCAGCUGCUCUUGUUCUCCGCAGACGCUCCAACUCGAUCCUCUGAUGAUGCACUACAUCUAACCUCUGCUGGCGCACUAACUCUGUCUUCUGAUGGUGCUGCUGUCCUUGGCAAUCACUUCCUGUUCUCCACAGGUGCUCCUAUCCUCCGCAGAUGCUCCACCUAUAUCCUCUGAAGGCACACUACAUCUAACCUCUGCUGGCGCACUAACUGACUUCUGACAGCACUCCUGUCCUCCACAGCUGCUCCCUGUUCUCCACAAAUGCUCCCGUCCUCCCCAGACGCUCCACCUCGAUCCUCCGACAGCGCACUACCUCUAUCUUCUGACAACACUCCCGUCAUCUGCAGGCACUCCUUGAUCUCUGUAGGUGUUCCCGUCCUCUGCCGAUGCUCCACCUCAAUCCUCUGAUGAUGCACUACAUCUAACCUCUGCCGGCGCACUAACUCUGUCUUCUGAUGGUGCUCCCAUCCUUGGCAAUCGCUUCCUCUUCUCUGCAGGUGCUCCUAUCCUCUGCAUAAGUUCUAGCUCUAUCCUCUGACAGCGCAGUACCUCUAACCUCUGCUGGUGCACUAACUAUGCAUUCCGACAGUGCUCCCAUCAUCUGCAGGUGUUCUGUGUCCUCUGCAGGUACCCCCAUCCUCCACAGGUGCUCUACCUCUAUCCUCUGAUGGCACACUACCUCUAACCUCUGCUGGCGCACUACCUCUAUCUUCUGACAACGCUCCCAUCAUCUGCCAGCGCUCUGUGUUCUCUGCAGGUGCUCCCAUCCUCCACAGAUGCUCCAUCUACAUCCUCUGAAGUCACACUACAUCUAACCUCUGCCGGCGCACUAACUAUGCCUUCUGACAGCACUCCUGUCCUCCACGGGUGCUCCCUGUUGGUAGCAGGUGCUCCCAUCCACCGCAGACUCUCCACCUCGAUCCUCUGAUGUCACUCUGUCUCUAACCUCUGCUGGCGCACUACCUCUAUCUUCUAACCACGCUCCCAUCAUCUGCAAGCAGUCUCUGUUCCCCGCAGGUGCUCCUGUCCUCCCCAGACGCUCCACCUAGAUCCUCCGACAGCGCACUACAUCUAACCUCUGCCAGCUCACUAACUAUACCUUCUGACAGCACUCCCAUCCUCCGCACGUGCUCCCUCUUGUCCGCAAAUGCUCCCGUCCUCCCCAGACGCUCCACCUCGAUUCUCCGACAGCGCACUACCUCUAACCUCUGCCGGCGCGCUACCUCUGUCUUCUGACAACACUCCUGUCAUCUGCAGGCACUCCUUGAUCUCUGUAGGUUUUCCCGUCGUCUGCCUAUGCUCCACCUAUAUCCUCUGAUGAUGCACUACAUCUAACCUCUGCUGGUGCACUAACUACGCAUUCCGACAGUGCUCCCAUCAUCUCCAGGUGUUCUGUGUUCUCUGCAGGUACCCCCAUCCUCCACAGGUGCUCUACCUAUGUCCUCUGAAGGCACACUACCUCUAACCUCUGCCGGCGCACUAACUAUGCCUUCUGACAGCGCUCCCAUCCUCCGCAGGUGCUCCCUGUUGUCCUCAGGUGGUCCGAUACUCCGCAGACCCUCCACCUCAAUCCUCUGAUGGCACACUACCUCUAACCUCUGCUGGCGCACUAACUAUGCCUUCUGACAGCACUCCUGUCCUCCACAGGUGCUCCCAUCCACCCCAGACCCUCCACCUCGAUCCUCUGAUGGCACACUACCUCUAACCUCUGCCGGUUCACUAGCUAUUCCUUCUGACAGCACUCCCGUUCUUCGCAGUCAGUCCCUGCUUGCCGCAGGUGCUCCCGUCCUCUGCAGACCCUCCACCUCAAUCCUCCAACAGCACACUACCUCUAACCUCUGCCUGCAAGCUACCUCUAUCUUCAGAUCAUGCUUCCAUCAUCUGCAGGCACUCCUUGAUCUCCACAGAUGUUCCCAUCCUCCCCACAUCUUGCACUUCGAUCCUGUGACAGCGCACUACCUGUAACCACUGCCAGUGUGCUACCUCUAUCUUCUGUUCGCGCUCCCGUCAUCUGCAGACACUCUUUGUUCUCCACAGGUGCUCCCGUCCUCCACAGACUCUUCACCUCUAUCCCGUGAUGGCACACUGCAUCUAAACUCUGCCAGCUCACUAACUCUGUCUUCCAACAGCGCUCCCGUCCUGCACAGGCUCUCCAUGUUCUCUGCAGGUGAUCUCAUCCUCCCCAGACCCUCCACCUCGAUCCUCUGAUGGGGCACUACAUCUAACCUCUGCCAGCGCACUACCUCUAUCUUCUGAAAACACUCCCAUCAUCUGCAGGCCUUCUGUGUUCUCUGCAGAUGCUCCUGUCCUCUGCAGAUGCUCCACCUAUAUCUUCUGAUGGCACACUACAUCUAACCUCUGCCAGCGCACUAAAUCUGUCUUAUGACGGCACUCCUGUCCUCUACAAUUACUUCCAGUUCCCUGCAGGUGCUCUUUUCCUCCGCAGACAUUCCACCUCUAUCCUCCAACAGCGCACUACAUCUAACCUCUGCCAGUGCACUAAUUCUGUUUUCUGCCGGUGUUCCCGUCCUCUGCAGUCACUCCCUGUUCUCCGCAGGUUCUCCUGUUCUCUGCAGACCCACUACUUUGAUCCUCCAACAGUGCACUACCUCUAACCUCUGCCGGCAAGCUACCUCUAUCUUCUGAUUGUGCUCCCAUCAUCUGCAGGCACUCCUUGUUCUCCGCAGGUCCUCUUUUUCUCCGCAUACGUUACACCUCUAUCAUCUGACAGUGCACUACCUCUAACCUUUGCCGGCGUGCUACCUCUUAUCCUCUGCUGGUGUGUUACCUCUAAUCUCUGCUGGUGCUACCUUUGUCUUCUGACUGAGCUCCCGUCCCCCGUAGGUGCUCCCUGUUUUCUUCAGGUGCUCCUGUCCUCCACAGACCAUCCACCUCUGUCCUCCAAUGGUGCACUACCUCUAACCUCUGCUGGCGCACUACCUCUAUAUUCUGACGGUGCUCCUGUCCUCUGCAAGCGCUCCCUGUUCCCCACAGGUGCUCCCUGUCCUCCGCAGGUACUCCACCUCUAUUCUCUGAUGGCACACUACAUCUAACCUCCACCGGCGUGCUACCUCUAUCUUCUGACGGUGCUCCCAUCCUCUGCUGGCGCUCCCUGUUCUCUGCAGGUGCUUUCAUUCUCCACAGACACUCCACCUCUAUCUUCCAAUGUCGCACUACAUCUAACCUCUGCUGGCGCACUACCUCUAUCUUCUGAUGGCUCUCCCAUCCCCCGCAGCUGUUGCACCUCUUUCCUCUGCUAGCACACUACCUCUAACCUUUGCCAGCGCACAACUACUAUCCUCUGACGACGUUCCUGUCCUCUGCAGGCACUCCCCAUCUCCUCAGGUGUUCCCGUCCUCUGCAAACCCUCCACCUUUAUCCUCCAAUGGUGCACUACCUCUAACCUCUACCGACGCACUACCUCUGUCUUCUGACAGUGCUCCCAUCCUCCACAGAUGCUCCACCUCUAUCUUCUGACAGCGCACUACCUCUAACCUCCGCCGGCGCACUACCUGUAUUCUCCGACGGCACUGUGUCCUCCGCAAACCCUCCUUCUUCUCUGCAGGUACUCCCAUCAUCCGCAGGUGCUCCCUUGCUCUGCAGGCACUCGCCAUCCUCCGCAGGCGCUCCCUGUUC
ensembl:lncRNA